rnacentral:ncRNA from 17 species
GCCACCUAAGAUGACCAGCGGCGGAGCCACGUGGCCCGCCGGGAGGAAGCCCGGUGCGAAUCCGGCGCGGUCCCGCCACUGUGAACCCUGCAGAGCAAUCCGCCGGGUGAGUCAGGAACUCCCGCUGUCCUCACUGCCCGGG